rnacentral:rRNA from 1 species
GUCUAACCUGCCCAAUGAGGAUUUAAAUGGCCGCAGUAUUUUGACUGUGCAAAGGUAGCAUAAUUAUUAGUUUUUUAAUUGAAAGCUUGUAUGAAUGGUUGGACGAGAUAAAAUCUGUCUCUAUUUAAUUAAAAGUAGAAUUUAACUUUUGAGUCAAAAGGCUUAAAUGAUUAUAAAAGACGAGAAGACCCUAUAGAUCUUUAUUUAAUUAGUACUUUAAUAAUUUAGGAUUUUUUUAGUUUAAAGUUUUAAUUAAAUUUUAUUGGGGUAAUAUAAAGAUUAAAUAAAUUCUUUUUAUUUAUUACAUUAAUUUAUGAAUAUAUGAUCCAAUAUUAUUGAUUAUAAGAUUAAGUUACCUUAGGGAUAACAGCGUAAUUUUUUUGGAGAGCUCAUAUCGAUAAAAAAGUUUGCGACCUCGAUGUUGGAUUAAAAAUUAGCUUGGGUGCAGAAGCUCAAGAUUUUGGUCUGUUCGACCAUUAAAUUUUUACAUGAUCUGAGUUCAGACCGGCGUAAGCCAGGUCGGUUUCUAUCUUUAUUUAAAUAAAAUAUUUUAGUACGAAAGGACCAAAUAUUUAAUAUAUUUAUAUUUAAUUUUUGAACAAUAUUAUUACUUUGGCAGAUUAGUGCAAUGAAUUUAGAAUUCAUGAAUGUAAAUUUUUUACAAGUAAUACUUGUAUUUAGGAGACUCAAUUUCUAUAGUAUUAUGUAUAUUAAUUCUUGUAAUUUGUGUGUUAGUUGGGGUAGCUUUUUUGACAUUAUUAGAGCGCAAGGUUUUAGGUUAUAUUCAGAUUCGUAAGGGCCCAAACAAGGUGGGAUU